CGGACGGGUGAGUAACACGUGGAUAACCUACCUAUAAGACUGGGAUAACUUCGGGAAACCGGAGCUAAUACCGGAUAAUAUAUUGAACCGCAUGGUUCAAUAGUGAAAGACGGUUUUGCUGUCACUUAUAGAUGGAUCCGCGCCGCAUUAGCUAGUUGGUGAGGUAACGGCUUACCAAGGCAACGAUGCGUAGCCGACCUGAGAGGGUGAUCGGCCACACUGGAACUGGGACACGGUCCAGACUCCUACGGGAGGCAGCAGCC
rnacentral:rRNA from 1 species